rnacentral:rRNA from 1 species
GACGAACGCUGGCGGCGUGCUUAACACAUGCAAGUCGAACGGAAAGGCCCUGCUUUUGUGGGGUGCUCGAGUGGCGAACGGGUGAGUAACACGUGAGUAACCUGCCCUUGACUUUGGGAUAACUUCAGGAAACUGGGGCUAAUACCGGAUAGGAGCUCCUGCUGCAUGGUGGGGGUUGGAAAGUUUCGGCGGUUGGGUAUGGACUCGCGGCUUAUCAGCUUGUUGGUGGGGUAGUGGCUUACCAAGGCUUUGACGGGUAGCCGGCCUGAGAGGGUGACCGGCCACAUUGGGACUGAGAGACGGCGCAGAAUCCUACGGGAGGCAGCAGUGGGGAAUAUUGCACAAUGGGCGGACGCCUGAUGCAGAAACGCCGCGUGCGGGAUGACGGCCUUCGGGUUGUAAACAGCUUUCGCCUGUGACGAAGCGUGAGUGACGGUACUGAGUAAAGAAGCACCGGCUAACUACGUG